UCUUCUAACAUAUUCUUGAUCGUUACAGACUGUUUUGCAAUUUCAACAUCAACUUCAAAAAUUUCUACAUCAGAACUCUGUAGUUUAAUUGAAGGCAUCUUUCAAUACCAGAAAAAUACACAAUACACGUCUGUUACAAAAAAUAAACUUAUCACUGGUGAAUAGUACACACACACA